UCCAAAAAAAAAAAGAAUAAAAAUAUUAAAAAUACCUUUAACCUUGACACAAAUUACUGAUAGCCUUAAAAAUACUCUCUUAAUUGAUUAAUUAAAUUUAGAUUCACCUUUAACAUAUAACAUGACAUAAUGGUUUUAAACUCUUUUUAAUUAAAAGCUGUACCAAAGAUGUGUUUAAGUUCAGUUAAUCAAGUAAACGAGUGUUUAUCUUUAAAUGUUUCAAAUAUGAAACUACUAAUUCACACGAAAUUCAGGGUGAAUUCAAAUUUGUCUUCUAUAAGAAAAAAAAAAAAGAAGAUAAUUCUAAAGAAUUGUAGUGCAUUUCAGUAUCCUUGAGGAGUUGCUGGGAAGAUAUUUCGGAAGGGGAAGAGAAUAUAUAUAUAUAUAUAUAUAUUACUACUACGACGUCGUUGGUAGUAGCGGUUAUGCCGUUAAUCGUCUCUCCCAAGUAGCCAAGCUUCUGAAGUUCUUCAGUUUUAUGAAACAAGGCGCAGGUGCUUGAUUAGAUGCCCUUUGUGUUCUCCUAGUUACAUUUUGAUUGCUAUUGGGAUCUUGGACAUAUUACAGUCUUGAAAGAGUUCCCAAUCAAAGCUUUGGCCAUGUCGGGAACUUCCUUUUUCUCCAGUCCACCACUAUACACUACUAGUACUACCACCAACUACAGCCAUAGCCCGUCACCUGACAGACUUAAAUUCUUGAUAGACAAAUCAAAAAACAUCAGACAGCUUCUACAGAUUCAUGCAUUUCUUAUUCGCAAUGGUCUGGAGAGUGACCCAGUAUUGAAUUUUAGGCUCCAGCAAUCAUACUCUUCCCUUGGACACCUCCAACAUUCUGUGAAGGUAUUUAAACGCACUCAUAGUCCGACUGUGUUCUCUUACACUGCCAUUAUCCAUAAUCAUGUGAUCAAUGAUCUCUAUGAACAAGCCUUUGUCUUAUAUAUCCAAAUGCUAACACACAAUAUUGAGCCUAAUGCAUUUACAUUUUCUUCCAUGCUUAAAACUUGCCCACUUGAAUCAGGAAAAGCCCUUCAUUGUCAAGCCCUAAAACUCGGAUAUGAAUCUGACACAUAUGUUCGAACUGCUCUCGUAGAUGUCUAUGCAAGAGGCAGUGACAUUGUGUCAGCUUGCAAACUUUUUGACACUAUGACUGAAAGGUCCUUGGUGUCUUUGACAACAAUGAUUACUGGAUAUGCAAAGAAUGGGCACAUCCAAGAAGCAGGAGUGUUGUUCGAAGGGAUGGAAGACAGGGAUGUCGUUUGUUGGAAUGCCAUGAUUGAUGGGUAUAGCCAACAUGGUAGACCUAAUGAAGCUUUGGUUCUUUUUAGGAAGAUGUUACUGUCAAAAGUUAAACCUAAUGAAGUAACCGUGGUGGCUGCUCUUUCUGCUUGUGCGCAAAUGGGAGUACUGGAAUCAGGUCGGUGGAUUCAUGCUUAUGUGAAAAGUAACAGAAUUCAAAUAAAUAAACAUGUAGGUACUGCUUUUAUUGACAUGUACAGCAAGUCUGGGAGUUUAGAGGAUGCAAGAAUGGUGUUUGAUCAGAUGAGAGAUAAGGAUGUCAUAACAUGGAAUUCGAUGAUUGUAGGAUAUGCAAUGCAUGGAUUUAGCCUUGAAGCUUUGCAGUUGUUCAAUGAGAUGUGUAAGUUGGGUCUCCAACCUACAGAUAUAACGUUUAUUGGUAUUUUAAGUGCUUGUGCUAAUGCUGGAUUGCUCUCUGAAGGGUGGACUUAUUUUCAGUUAAUGGAGAAGUAUUUAAUUGAGCCAAAGAUUGAGCACUAUGGUUGCAUGGUGAAUCUUCUUGGACGAGCAGGACAGCUAGAAAAAGCUUAUGAAUUUGUCAAAAGUAUGAAGAUUGAUUCGGAUCCUAUUUUAUGGGGAACUCUACUGACUGCUUGUAGGAUUCAUGGGGAUGUAAGGCUUGCGGAGAAAAUUAUGGAGUUCCUAGUCGAACAGGAUCUUGCUACUUCAGGAACUUAUGUUCUGCUAUCCAACAUAUAUGCUGCUUCUGGUGAUUGGGAUGGAGUGGCAAAGGUGAGGGCAUUGAUGAAAAGAAGUGGGGUUGACAAGGAACCUGGCUGUAGCUCCAUUGAGGUAAACAAUAAAGUGCACGAGUUCCUUGCGGGUGAUAUGAAGCAUCCCAAAAGCAAAGAAAUUUACAUAAUGCUGGAGGAGGUGAACAAGUUGCUCGAGGCUCAUGGGUACUUGCCGCAGACUGAUAUAGUCUUGCAUAAUCUUGGGGAAGUAGAGAAACAGCAAGCACUUGCGGUUCAUAGUGAAAGGCUAGCAAUUGCUUAUGGACUAAUUAGUACUCAGGCAGGAACUACAAUCAAGAUUGUCAAGAAUCUACGUGUUUGUCCAGAUUGUCAUGCUGUCACAAAGCUCAUUUCAAAAAUCACAGGACGCAAAAUCAUUGUUAGGGACCGGAAUCGCUUUCAUCAUUUUGUAGACGGUUCAUGUUCUUGUGGUGAUUUCUGGUAGAACUUUUAGCAUAUGUUAACAAGCAGGCAUGCAGAGUGUUCUAUAAGCAUCGCAUUGUACCAUGGUACCUGUCGUAGCUUGAUGACAUCCUCAUACUCAACAGGAGCUUAUAUAGUUGAAACUGACUACCUUUCCAACUAUCAAAGAAAGAGCCGGAGUGCUUCAGAUACCACCAAUCUGUGGAAGAUGCAACAACUUGUUGAGCAUUGUCUGCUUCACAGAAAUGCUUCAAAACAGGAGGAAAGCUACCAAACAUUGAUAGCUCUCGGGUAGAGCAUUAGAACGGAAAUAUCCAUUAGAUAUAUUGGUGCGAGGUCAUCCCUGUUCCUUUGUAGUUUGAAAAUGGUAUUAUUCACAGAAGUUGUUUUUUAGAUCACAAAAUUCAAAAGAAUCGCAUCCAUUUUUUGAUACUGUGUCUAGUCAAAUAUUAUCUCAUAAAUUGAGACGGACGAAAUAGUAUUUAAAACUACAAAAAAGUCAAUAUCAUGGAGAUUUAUGUGGUCCUCCAUAAAUCAAAUUAAAAAAUUUUGAGCUUGAAUUAGUAGAGAACCUUUUUGUUUUUG